CGUGUAGGCGGAUCAAGUAGUCGGGUGUGAAAGCCCUGGGCUCAACCCAGGAAGUGCGCCCGAAACCAUUGAUCUUGAGAUUCGGAGGGGAGCGGGGAAUUCCCAGUGUAGAGGUGAAAUUCGUAGAUAUUGGGAGGAACACCGGUGCCGAAGGGGCCGCUCUGGACGAAUACUGACGCUGAGACGCGAAAGCGUGGGUAGCAAACA
rnacentral:rRNA from 1 species